GAAGAGAACCUCGUCGCCGGUCCUUGCCUGGAGUCUCGCAGCCAUCCGGUGAGGCGCGUGAUCUCACGCACUGAUAGAAGGUUUUCGCCUCAUGUAUAUACGCCGGCUCGUGAGCUUGUUUCUUAUCAAUUUUUCGGUUGCACUUGUUUCUGACAACAUUCCUAAUGUACCGCGCCUCUGCUCAACCCCUUCCUAUCUAUUGGUUUGCAAUUUUGUUUUUGG
rnacentral:misc_RNA from 1 species